ACGAGACUUGGCUUCAAAAAUACGGCGGAUCAGUAAUAUAGAAGAAAUAAUCAAAAACUUUUCAACAUGAACAAGGUCAUCUUUAUUCUUGUUGUCUUCGUUGCCGUUUGCGUACUAAUAGUUUCAUCGCAGCAUCAGUACACGGAAAGCUACCCCGUUAUUAGAAAUCGCCAAGCCAGAUUCAUUCGUGACGUUGAAUCUCAGAGCGCACUACAGAGAAAUAGAUUUCCUGGAUGGCUUUUUGGUUAAUAUGUUUUCACGACGAAUAAUUUAUUAUUGUUUGCCUGUAACAUCGAUAAAUAUCUUGCGGAAUUGGAAGACAUCGGAUUUGUAUGUUAUGAUUUUCCAAUAUUUUCCCAAUAUCUGCUUUCGUUAUUUAUUAUUCGAUGACUCACUACUAAUAGUAACAUUUUUUGCUGUAUCAUAUUGUAUUUAAGUAAUAAAAAUACUGCAAUGAAACGGAUCCUUUUUGAGAUGU